UCUACGCAAGACUUUGAUCCGGGUUGUUCCAACACCGUUCUUUCACUUAGCUGACCGUGUCACAGACUUCAUUCAAAGGCCGAAACUUCAAGAAGCUCUGAUGUGAAGGAUUCAUUCCUGCUCUGUCAAAGCCAUGGCUGUGAAACUGACCAUUCCUCCUGAACGUAACAGGCAGAUAAGGUCUGUGCAGCAAAAAGAAGCUCAACAAAAUCAGACUCGGAGCAAGAGGAGCUCCAAAGACUUUUCCACUCCACUGAUGGGCUUCAUAAUGAGCAGGCUGCAUGUUGUGGAAACAAAACCUCAGCGUUUUGGACGUGGAGAUACUCCUGUCAGAUGACCUGGAAGGAGGUGCGUGGAUCGGUUUCUGGUAAGAUGCAAUGAAGCAGACAACUGACAGACUGUUUCCAUCGCUCAGUCCAGCCAUCUUCUACUGCUGUAACGGAUUUUGGUCCAGAUCUCAUUCCAGUUGGAUGGAAACGUCUCACCUGAGAGCAGUUUAGGAGGCUUCACUAACCCGUCAGAAGAACGAAACAUUAAACCCUCCAAAAGCAACCGAACUCAUCGUCUUCUCAGAGUGGAAACAAAAGAACGUUUUUAAAAAAGAAACUGCAAAAAGAAAAAAAAUUCUGUAUAUAUGUAAACUACUUUUCUACUGUAUUCAUGAAAUAUAUGUUAGGUUAUUUGACAAAGGUUUGAGAUUGCGAGAUUUUUUUUUAGAAUAGUUUUACCUGGAAAAGGAAAAAAUUUGUUUUAUGUAAGACUACCUCAAGGCGUAUUUUAGGUUAAAUGAGAUUUACAUAGAUGAUAAAGUAAAGAUUAGUUUCUCAUUUGUUUGAAACUUCUUAGACAGAAAGCAAGAAAUCAUAUGUAGGCUUCAAAUCAUUCAAUUCAAUUCAAUUUAGGAUCAUUUUGUGUUGGUUUAACACAGGCACUCAGCAGAGCAUAAAUAUGAUCUCGAAGGUGGUGAAACAAAGAACAGGAGCUGCAGACAAAAAUGCAUUUAUGACUUAGUGUUUUUGAAAACAUCAGGCAGCUGGCGAGCAGAAUCUGUGUCUGAACUGAAAGCUCAGCAAAUGAAGCAGAAGGAAAACAUUAAAUAAACUGCUGAAGCAGCCAGAAUGAACAUAAUAGAUCAACUAAUAAUUUUCGUAGAUAUCCAGCAUCGGGUUUUCUGUUUCUACAAGAAUUUGGUCCUCAUUUUGAUGGAAACUAGCAGGUUUUUCAAAAUACACUCACACAUUUAAAAAAAUUGCUUUUCCACUGUUAUUUAUUUGUUUGACCAAACAACGUCUCCAUAUGAAUAAACAAUAUAUAAAUCA